UUUUUUUUUAGAAAAAAAAAAAAAGAAAAUUAGUGACUGAUUUUUUAUUUCUGUUUUGCAAUGGGAAUGCUACACAUCGUUUUCUUUGGACUGUGUAAAGUUGAGAUCCAUGAAAGAUGAUCAUGUGCUCAUCCGUGAUUUCUUCUUUUUCUUUUUUUAAUUUUUAUAUUCAACUUUUGUUGGAUCAUGUAGAAUACGUAAUGAGUAACUGCAGGAUGAUAUUCCUUUUUUCUUCCUCUCUUGACCAAUGG
rnacentral:misc_RNA from 1 species